rnacentral:rRNA from 1 species
UAUUCCCCACUGCUGCCUCCCGUAGGAGUUUGGGCCGUGUCUCAGUCCCAAUGUGGCCGGUCGCCCUCUCAGGCCGGCUACGGAUCAUCGCCUUGGUGGGCCGUUACCCCGCCAACCAACUAAUCCGACGCGGGUCCAUCUUUCACCACCGGAGUUUUCCUCCCUGUGCCAUGCGGCACUGUGAGCAUAUGCGGUAUUAACAGCCGUUUCCAGCUGGUAUCCCCCGGUGAAAGGCAGGUUCCCCACGCGUUCCUCACCCAUCCGCCGCUCUGAAUAAACUUCCUUGGCCGAAACCUUGUCGGUUUAUUCAUCGCUCGACUUGCAUGUGUUAGGCACGCCGCCAGCGUUCAUCCUGAGCCA